rnacentral:tRNA from 1 species
GGGAGUGUGGUUCCGGUGUUAGAAUGCUUGCCUGGAAUGCUUGAAUCCCUGGGUUUGAUCCCCAGCUCUACCU